rnacentral:misc_RNA from 1 species
GAUGAAGAACGUAGUGAAAUGCGAUAAGUAAUGCGAAUUGCAGAAUUCCAGUGAGUCAUCGAAUCUUUGAACGCACAUUGCGCCCUUUGGUAUUCCGAAGGGCAUGCCUGUUCGAGCGUCAUUAUCACCCCUCAAGCCCUCGGCUUGGUGUUGGACGGUUUGGUGGAGGCCCCCUCGGGGGUUCCUGCCCCUCCCAAAGACAAUGACGGCGGCCUCGUUGGACCCCCGGUACACUGAGUUCUUCACGGGACACGUAUCGGACACAUGGGUUUACGGGACACGGUCUGCCUCCCCUCAGGGAGAAUCUUUCUAAGGUUGACCUCGGAUCAGGUAGGGAUACCCGCUGAACUUAAGCAUAUCAAUAAGCGGAGGA